ACGCUCGACACCUACGGAGGCAGCAGUGGGGAAUAUUGCACAAUGGGGGAAACCCUGAUGCAGCGACGCCGCGUGAGCGAAGAAGUAUUUCGGUAUGUAAAGCUCUAUCAGCAGGGAANAAGAAAGCGGUACCUGACUAAGAAGCCCCGGNUAACUAGUGCUAGCAGCCGCGGUAAUCUGAGCGGGCUGGCAAGGC
rnacentral:rRNA from 1 species